rnacentral:tRNA from 1 species
GGGGUUGUGGCUUAGUGGCAGAGCACUUGCCUAGCAUGAAUGAGGCACUGGGUUCAAUCCUCAGCACCACA